rnacentral:lncRNA from 1 species
CAGUGUUAUAUCCUCUGAACCCACAAACGCUGGUCCUUCUUUUGCUCGCGGGAACCAUGAAGUGCGUGUCAUCUCUUCCGGUGCUCUGUUUGCUGGUACUCUCCGUGAGUACCAUCUUUAACCCCAUUACCCCACAUGAGCCGAUCUUCAAAGGGGAAGCUGUUCCUCAAAAGAACGUGGAAUUUUUCAGCUCUUUAUGGAAUGAAAGUUUCAAUCUCCUUCUGACCUCCUUUCUGAAGACCCUGAAAGAUGUGAUUUCAUUUUCAAAAGAACAGAUAACCUCCUCCUUACCAUACCUAUGGAUUUCCAGAAAAGGCGGCAUUGUCAAGAUUUUGUUCGUGAGCCACAUCAUCGUGUUUGUUUUGAAGUAUAUCUUGAAAAGUAUUGAGCCAGUACUUGCAUUCAAGAAAGUUCGUAAGGACAGGAUCCGAUGCCCUCAGAACCGCAAUCGCCCGACCUUGAUGAAUCCGUGACAGCGUGUUGAGCCGUCACAUUGAUCCUGCCAACACAAACCGUUACAUACAAACUACUGGCCAUUGUUUCUGUCUUGUGAUUGUAACAUAUAAACGACGUUGUUUCUGUAUCGUCCAUUGCAUGGAUGUAAAUCCUGAAAAUGGUUAAUAAAAUAUUUCUGGUCAUUCUUUGUGGAGCAUUUCCAUAGGUUGUGAAAGUGUGUCUGUGGUACCAAUUGUGAGACUUCAGAUAUUAUUAAAAUUGUGUUCUUGGGAG